rnacentral:lncRNA from 1 species
GGGACAUGACAGUCCAUAUCCCACAACGACUUCCUCCUCGUGCAAGCUCCAAAAGCAUCUAACGACCUUUCUUACCACUAGCUCAAGGCUAGGGAAGUUCAAGAGAAGAAAAGUGGUGGUUAAUAGCAAAUAGAGAAGGUCCUUCCACUUCCGAAAACACCAAGCUUCGUUAUAUGACCCUUAACACCCUUGAGAGUAUGUAGAAUGAAUGGAAGUGAAAUGAUGUGAAGGUAUGGUGGUGGUGGUUCUCGGCCGAGCCAACGGAGGAGGGAGAGAGAGUUUGAAGGUGUUGUUGAUGUGAAGAUGUUAGAAGUGAAGGACUUGUGGUUUAUAUAAACUCACUUCCAACAUACCUUCACCCAUUGGUCCUUAUGUUUACUAAUUAUGGAGACAAGAUCUAAUAAAAUAAACCAAGAAAAUCAAGGGGGUGGGGGCCACAUGAACCGUAAGUAUAGGGGGUGGUUAGUUGGCAUGCAAUGGUUAUGA